rnacentral:lncRNA from 1 species
CAACUUAACGAGACACCCUGCAUUUUACCUCUGCAUGACCUCUGCGAUCCCCCGCCCCCGACCAAGCCACCACAUCUAGAGCCGGUUGCGUGACCAAGACGGGCUGUAUGGAGAGCCACAAGCCCACCAGGACCGCGUCCCAAUGACAGGGUUCCCAGAAACCCCGCCCCCCCGUGCUAAUGGGGAGCAGCUUAUUCUGCGUCCGGAACAACCCCCAUAGGAGCCACCACAGAGUCACACCACAUAACACAGGAGUUUCUGACUCGAGUCACCAUCGCCUACCUCUCAGGAGGAGAAGAAGAGGGGAUGCGUUUGGGUUUCACCCUGACCGUCCCCCAGCACACGGGGGGGAUCUCCCCGGCUCGGAGCAGCCUCACAGAUCUUGAGGGACAGUGGCUACACUUUAUAGGAGAGGAAACCCCAGAGGGGCCCAGAAACGUGGAGCCACCCGCCGGAGGCCAGAUGGCCCGUGGACAAGAGCUAGCUGUCCACCAGGGCUUCUACCGGGGGCUCUGAACUCUCAUUCUCUCUUUUUAAGAUUUUCCUUCCCAUUUCCAUCAGGUUCAGUGGAGACAUUUUUUAAAACUCAAGAAGUACACAGAAAAGCUGCUGAAUCACUUGCAACGCCAACUGUGGGCUAGGACAGAAAGCCCUCGGGGUGGCGGGGGGCAGGUGAGGAAGGCGGGGAGCUGUCCUGGGUCACCUGCUCGUGGGCACACAGGACCCUCAGGCAUGGACGCCCUGGGACCUUGGGGGUUCCUUACCCUCCUAGCCGCCAUUCCCUUGUCACUGAAAAGGUGAGGAAGGCCACUCCUGAGGCUGUGGCCAGGUGGGCUAGUGUAUUACAGCGCCUCAUGCAGCGCCAGGCCCCUGGGGACGCCAGCCAUCCUGCGGUGCCCUCGCAGGAGCCACCCCUGUGUACAAGCUCCCUCCUUUGGACAAGUCAACCAGGGCUGGCAGUGUCACCCUGCAGUGGUGUCGCCAGACACCAAGAGGCCCUGGGUCCCAUCCACAGUCCCAGGAAGAAGAGAGAGAGAGAGACACCCCACUUCUGUGGCCUUCUUUGCCCCGACUGGACAUCUCCAUAAAGAGCCAUUCUUGGUGGCCUUCCCACCAAACCAAGGGGUAAGAAGUCCAAGUAUGACCUGU